UUCGAAACCACAACAAAAACAAUCCGAUUUUCAAGCCAAAAGUUUCUCAACAAGAAUUUAUAACUGCUAACGAGCCGAUCGAUUGACGACGAUGAACACCACGACGGAACGCUGUCUCCAUGUUUUUUUUUAUGGUUCAGGCAACCAACUGGACCAAACACCAGGUCCAUCCACUACAUAUCCACCACGACUAGCCAACAACUCUUCAAAUGUUGGCCCAGAAUCGAGAAUCUUCUAACUGUAGAUCAUAAGCAAUUUGCGUGUCCCGAUGGUCGCUCAUGUGCCGAUGGAACCACGACGCUGGAAACGCACGAGGCGUUAGAAACGCGGUUCUAGACGGAGUUCCCGGGUCGACGUUGGGCCUGCUGAUGCAGCCACCGUACCAGUGGUCACCGGAAGAUAAGUAUUUGAAGCGGUACUUCGGCCAGCGAGUGGCCGCCGAUUAGUUUCAUCGAAUUAUCUACAUCCUACAUCCGAAACUCAA